rnacentral:ncRNA from 1 species
ACACAACUCUGGAGAGUCCCUUAAAUGGGCGCCGAAGGUGCACGGAUGACAACAUCCUUAUCUCUCAGGCCAAAGGACAGAGAAA